rnacentral:lncRNA from 1 species
CGAACGCUUCCUUGCACGUGCCUAGGGGAAUUUGAAACAGAAAGAAUUCGUUUCCCUUCUCUCCAACUUUUCCUCCAAAUGUUGCCUCCCGGAGCGCCCUGCUUUGAGCUGUGAGGCUGGAGAACAGCGGGAGCAAGGAGGCCCGGCCUGGCCGCCCUUCACCGCCCCAGGCCGGCGGUGCCCAACCCCGCCCUGCUGCAGCAGCGGCCGGGCUCCGCUCCAAAGGCCGCGCAGUGCCGCCGAACGGAGAGCGCCUCUCGUCCGCGCCCGGACAGGCCGGCCGCAAGGUCGGGGCUGAGACAGAGCGACCACCACGGCUGGAGGCCUGGAGGAGGAGGAGGAGGACCGGGUAGGGGCGCUCGGGCGCACUCCGGCUCUGCCUCUCGUCCCGGAGCCCCGACUUGGCCCCGCUGUCACCCGCAGACGUGCGCGGCGCCCCCAGGCCUCGGCGCGGCCGUGCGGACAUCGGCCCCGGGGCAAGGUGGCCACCGAGGAUCCGAACACGGCUUUCUCUAAAUGCCGCCGACACAGUGCCUUAAGAGUGCUCCGCUUCUCUGCGAACCUGCAGACGCCUUCCCGGUGGAUUCUGGACCCCGCCCCGCCCGCGAUCCCCUCGGUUCCGAAGCCGCGAGCCGCGCAGAGGGACUACACGCAGCCAGCGAGGGGAGGCACCCAUCUGGGCCGGGCUGCGGAUGCAGAUCUGGACGCUGAGACCCCGCCCCGAAAGAUGAGGCUGCGCCCCGCCCGGCCGCGAGCAGGAGGAGCCAAGGGUCCCAGCCGCAGCGCACGGCCAAGGCCGGGACCCGAGGGCAGCCACGUCCCAGUCCGCAAGCCGAGAAACGGACAAGGAGUGAAGCGAUCCCGGUCACGCCCACCGAAGGGUACGCCCUCGGCCACACCCCACCCACGGCCGGCCUCUCGGCCUCCCUCGCCCCGCCCAUAGCCGGCCCCGCGCACGCGCAGCUGGGGCCUCGGUCCGCCCCAGGACGCACCCGGACACCUCCGGCUUUCGGGCCUGUGCUCUUCCCGGGCUAGCUGGAUGUCACCUCCCUUUCUGUUCCCUUGCCCUCCUUCCUCCCAGCACCUGACUCUCGUAAUAAAAGAAUAGAAAGAGAAAAACAAGUGUAUGAACGUGUGUCUCAUGUACAGAAAGGGAGAUGCCAGGAAAUGAGUCAUUCUUAAAGACGCGGAGGGCUUGGAACUCCAGUUUGUACGGCAUCGUCAGAAAACAAAAUUUGGGGCGCGAUGACGACGCCAAGGAAAACCUCGGGUUUCCAGGGACAGCCAGAUGACUCGGCCCGGGACCUGCGGCCUCCGGCAGCCCCAGCACGCCUCGCUGCGACUCCGCUCCGCGCUGAGAACGGCUAGGGCUUCGAGGGCAAAGGCCCAGGUUUCCGGGGGCGACUCCCCCCGUGAGGCCGAGGUGGACGAUCUCGAGGCUGAGGGCAGCAGUGCAGUCUCGCUCCCCCCUUCCUGGGUAAAACACGCUAUCCGGCUUCCCCAGAAACAGGACCAGUGAGGUACAGGUAGCCUAUUCGGUGGGACUCCCGGGAAACAGAAACCAUAGCCUAUUCGGUCGUGCUGAGAGUGGCGGGUUAGAGACAACUGGGAUCAGGGUGCGGCCGCUGGAUUCCUUCAGAGCGGAAAGCUGUUACCUCAGGGCAGCCGGGAAGCGGAGCACGGAAGAGCCAGGGAGGGCCUCGAGGUACGCUGCAGCCCAGCUGGAGGGUCGAGAUGUACCCUUCGAAGACAACCGCACGCAGUGCCCACCUCAUCCAACUAGGCUGCACUGCCCAGUGAGCCCACUGAGCUAUUAAUCUACCACGAAGUGACCCACGUGGUGAGGUGGAGCCUCAGAUCCAUUCAGUUACUCAGAAUUCCACUGGCCACAACAGGACCCCCUGCACUACGGGGCUUUGGGGGGACAUUUGGAUUCCAGCCGUAAGAGAUAGAGAAGAAAACAGACUUAGAGACGGAUGGAUUUUAAGAACUUGGUCUAAACAAUUGUGGAGGUGGAGAGGUUCAAAACCUGUGGAGCAGGUUUAGCAAUCUGCAAUCUAAGUGAGCUGAUGCGGCAGUCCAUUCCGCAUUCCACGGGGCAUGGAGCUGGAGACCCAGGCGCUCUUCCUGUCUGAGUUCUGAGAGAGCCUUCUUCCUCGCCAGAGCUUUGCCCUCCGGGGCUUCCAAUAACCACAUGUCCUCAAAGCCUGCUGAUGCAAAUGCUCAUCAAAUCUUUAAAAGCAGAUACCUCCCCAAGAACUUCUAGACCAAGCAACUGGUUGCUGCAGUCCGACCACGCAUGCUCAUGAAACGCCCAGGACCUCAGGCCGACCGUCGCUCAGAGCCGCACUGUCCACGUAUUUGGCCACCAUCUUGGUUUCCUUGCUUUUGUUCAUCGCUGGAUUUUCCCCAAACCCCCUAAUAAAACGCAUCUGUCCACCCAAGAACCAAAGCCUGUAGAGGAUGGAGCCCCUCCUCGGUAGGCAGCUUAGCGGAUGAACAGGAGGGGGCUGCAAAGCGUCAGUCUCCCUUUUGCCUUUGAGACCCGGAUCUCACCACUCUCCCCAAGGUUCCUCCUGCCUGGCCUGGCCAAACCCAAGGAGCUGCCGCAGCCAAGUGUGUGUCUGUCGCAUCCCCUGAGGGGGCGGCCCAGCGUCUUACAAAGUUGCUUUGCUGUCCUUUGCUAGUUUUAAAAAUUAGGCUCCAGUCCGGGGCCUCCAGACUGCCCUGUGCUCCACCUGAACCCCACAGGGGUGUGGACAGCUCCUGGUGACAGAUGAGGGCUCCUGCUGGGGGUCCCCUGGUGAUUCUGCCCUUGGGCUCAUCCUUCCCAGGCACAGACAGGUAGGUGAUGGAAGCAGAUUGCUUUGCACGCUGUGAGGCUUUGAGGAUCCGAAAUCGGAUAGGUCUGCUUGGGGAAGGAAGUGAGCAGGUUUCCUGGGCCAGGCACAGCCCCUGAGCUAUGGCCAGGGUCUGGGUCGGCCGAACCCUACAGCGCCCUGCAGAGCAGACCUCGAUCCUGGGGUCCGCAGGGAGGGGACCGUCAGACCCAAACCCAGGGAGCUUAGCUGACUUCCACUCAGGAGUUUAAAAGAAGCACCGAGUGUGGGAGAGGUAACGCCCAGAAAGUGACUGAGCAACUCGGGAUUAUUUCCAAAGUGCAGAGCAGCUGUGAGGUUUAUAAAACCACUGCCGAAACCCAGGAUUGAACCAGGGACCUUUACAUCUUCAGUCUAACACUCUCCCAACUGAGCUAUUCCAGCUGCACCCCAGUGGCCCAUUCUUCUAUGUAUUACAAUGAAGCAUUUGUUUUAUAGCACCGGAAGAGCUCAUUACGCAAGUUUAGCCGGAGGCAAACAUUUUACACCAGUUAUGGAAGAGCGAAGGCGAGGACCUGGUUUACAGAGGAAAAACUGAUAGAUAACUACUUUUCUAAGGCUUUUAAUUGCCUUGAAAUCUUUCUCAUAUAAAAAUAAUUCAUGGGGACCCCACUCCCCGCAUUUAUAUGGACCUGUUUAAUGCUUAUAACUUCACGUCAGCCCAGAAACAGCUGGACUGCCUGGACAGCGCCGUCUGUUUAGCAGACAUUCCCUCUAGGUCUCACCUUUUUCUCCUUGAUUUUAUUAUGCAGAUAUUUACAUAUAUGUGUAUAAAUGUGCUGCUCUUGUAUGAAGGCAGAUGUUACAAGGUCAAAAGUUAUGAACAUUUCAGUUAUUUUUUUUUACAUAUGUAAUCAAUUUGGAUACCAGAAAUGCUUAGAAGAGGAUUUGGCAUGUGCCAAGCCCUGGGUUUGAUCCUGAACAGUGUAAAAAGAGAAAAAAGAAAGAAGAAUACAACAAAACAGAAGCAAAAAGACACAGAAAGGCCACCUGUAAAGGUUUCACACGGAGACUUCCGGUGUUAUCACGUCUUGUGGUAUCCACGGCAUAGUAUUCAUUAAAAGCACUGAUUUGCUAAACCUCACAUUAAAAAUAUACUUUAACUUGCU